rnacentral:lncRNA from 1 species
UGUGGCUUGAAUAUUGGGUUUGCAAUUUAGGUGUUUAUAGGCUAUCAAAGAGUCGAUUACACAGAUGCAACAAGAUAACAUUAGUGGUUGCAUAUACAAGAUAGAGCCAUAGAAUUAUGUGGCUGAAUUGAAGAGAUUCCGGUCAACUUCGGUUCAUCCCUGUUCACAAUGCAUGUUCCUUCUCGCACUUGAUUUCAAUUUGCAAGAACCAUAAGGUUUUUUAAUUUAUGAUUCACCGCAUUUGGCGUGGCAGAUUCGGAGGAUGGUAA